rnacentral:lncRNA from 1 species
ACCGCCCCCCUGGACGGCGUCAUCCUGGUGGUGGCGGCCACCGACGGGCAGAUGCCGCAGACCCGCGAGCACCUCCUGCUGGCACGGCAGGUGAGCACAGGUAAAGGGACAGGUAAAGGGACAGGUGGGACACGCGGCCACCGACGGGCAGAUGCCGCAGACCCGCGAGCACCUCCUGCUGGCACGACAGGUAAACUGCAGGUGGGACAGGUGGGACAGGUGAGACAGGUGAGAGACAGGUAAAGGGACAGGUGGGACACACAGCCACCGACGGGCAGAUGCCGCAGACCCGCGAGCACCUCCUGCUGGCACGGCAGGUGAGACAGGUGGGACAGGUGGGACAGGUGAGACAGGUGAGACAGGUGAGACAGGGACAGGUGAGACAGGUAAAGGGACAGGUAAAGGGACAGGUAAAGGGACAGGUAAAGGGACAGGUAAAGGGACAGGUAAAGGGACAGGUGAGACAGGUAAAGGGACAGGUGAGAUGGGACAGGUGGGACAGGUAAAGGGACAGGUGAGACAGGGACAGGUGAGACACACGGCCACCGACGGGCAGAUGCCGCAGACCCGCGAGCACCUCCUGCUGGCACGGCAGGUAAACUGCAGGUGGGACAGGUGAGACAGGGACAGGUGGGACAGGUAAAGGGACAGGUGAGACAGGUGAGAGACAGGUAAAGGGACAGGUAAAGGGACAGGUAAAGGGACAGGUGAGACAGGUGAGACAUGGACAGGUGGGACAUGGACAGGUGAGACAGGUGGGACAGGUAAAGGGACAGGUGGGACAUGGACAGGUGGGACAUGGACAGGUGGGACAUGGACAGGUGGGACAUGGACAGGUGGGACAGGUAAAGGGACAGGUGGGACAUGGACAGGUGGGACAUGGACAGGUGUGUCAGCACCUCCUGCUGGCACGGCAGGUGAGGA